CUGAUUCUACAGCAAGAGUGAAAUCACGCUCCUAACUGGCUGGAUAAAGUUACAUGUCGACCACAUGAUUCAUAUCUGUGGCAGUGUCCAUCUUCACCCUGGGGACAGAAUGACUGUGGUGAAGAUGAAGUGGCCAAAAUCACCUGCUCAGAGGAUCAAACUCAUGAGUCGCCUCAGAGUUUUCUGACAUGUUCUAGCUCACCAUCUCCAUACAAGAGACAGUGUUCAAAUCAUGUUCCUCUCAGACUGCGUGGAGGGGAGGGCCGGGUGCUCUGGGAGGCUGGAGGAUGUAUCAUAACGCUGUGUGGGGCUCAGUCUGUGAUGGAUCAGUGGGACAUCAGCGAUGCUCAGGUGGUCUGCAGGCAG